UACGUAGGUGGCAAGCGUUGUCCGGAAUUAUUGGGCGUAAAGCGCGCGCAGGUGGUUUCUUAAGUCUGAUGUGAAAGCCCACGGCUCAACCGUGGAGGGUCAUUGGAAACUGGGGAACUUGAGUGCAGGAGAGAAGAGUGGAAUUCCACGUGUAGCGGUGAAAUGCGUAGAGAUGUGGAGGAACACCAGUGGCGAAGGCGGGUCUCUGGGCCGAUACUGACGCUGAGGAGCGAAAGCGUGGGGAGCAAACAGG
rnacentral:rRNA from 1 species